GUAAACACGUUGAAAAAGAGAGUAUAUCUGCAAAAAUAUGACAGAGAGUCCCGGAUUGCUGAGAGCGGGGUAUAGGCAGGCAGAUAGAAGAUGGCUUUGGAGUGGCAGGGCUGAACCGUGAUGGAUAAGUUCUGACAGGACCGCCUGUUACAGCGGAGAGUAUCGCAUCGUUUUUAACAGAUGCUGUACCUGAUGAGGCUUUUACCGCGAGGUAGGAGUAAAGUGAAGUGGUAACACGGUUGAUCCCGUCUUCAUU
rnacentral:ncRNA from 1 species